UACAUUUUUCACGUGAUUAGUAUUAUGGUUAGUUUAAACUCAUAUUAGUGUUUGUAGAUUUUUUUCUCUUUGGUUGUAUUUUUAAAAGUAGCUUGUUAAAAUGGAAUGGCAGAAAAUGACUUGGUUGAAAAUGUUGGAAAUGUUCCUCGCUGUCAUGAUUUUCGGGAUGCACUCCGUGUCGGCACUUUGGUGGGGUAUCAAAAAGACUAAUAUAUGGAGAAUUAGAAACGUCUUGAUGGCGACGAGUUUUUGCAGCCCUCUGAUACCGCUGAUGUUUAGAUCUGAACCUUACUUUUACACAGCGCAGGAGAUAGUCAAACCUACCAACGUCUUCAUUAUAAUUUACUGUCUGCUUUCGUACAUAAGUGGCUCCGUUUUGGUCUUCCUUGACUCUAUUCAGGCAUCGACCAGGUCAAAUUCCAGAGAUGUCUCCAUUUGCUCAGUCAUUUUUGCCAGUGUGCUUUCUAUAUGCUUCUGCGCAGACCUUAUUUUAACCAUAAAAAAAUAAAAUACAUUUGUUUAAAGGACUAUCUUAUUUGGGUGUAUACAAAUAAACAUUUUACGUGCACA